GCGUUUUUCUAGCGAGCUUGGGAUAGUGAGAGCCAAGUAGAGCAAGGUAAGCAAGUGGCGCUUUCUCUCAGUAAAAAGCUGAGUAAAGUAAAAUAAAAUGAAGUAAUAAAUUAGGGUGGAACCGCGUUUCUAACG
rfam:Streptococcus sp. HSISM1 chromosome, whole genome shotgun sequence.